rnacentral:rRNA from 1 species
GAUGGGUGAGUGACACGUGGGGAACCUGCCCCUAAGUCUGGGAUACCAUUUGGAAACAGGUGCUAAUACCGGAUAAUAAAGCAGAUCGCAUGAUCAGCUUUUGAAAGGCGGCGUAAGCUGUCGCGUAAGGGAUGGCCCCGCGGUGCAUUAGCUAGUUGGUAAGGUAACGGCUUACCAGGGCGACGAUGCAUAGGCGAGUUGAGAGACUGAUCGGCCACAUUGGGACUGAGACACGGCCCAAACUCCUACGGGAGGCAGCAGUAGGGAAUCUUCCACAAUGGACGCAGGUCUGAUGGAGCAACGCCGCGUGAGUGAAGAAGGUUUUCGGAUCGUAAAGCUCUGUUGUUGGUGAAGAAGGAUAGAGGUAGUAACUGGCCUUUAUUUGACGGUAAUCAACCAGAAAGUCACGGCUAACUACGUGCCAGCAGCCGCGGUAAUACGUAGGUGGCAAGCGUUGUCCGGAUUUAUUGGGCGUAAAGCGAGCGCAGGCGGAAAAAUAAGUCUAAUGUGAAAGCCCUCGGCUUAACCGAGGAACUGCAUCGGAAACUGUUUUUCUUGAGUGCACAAGAGGAGAGUGGAACUCCAUGUGUAGCGGUGGAAUGCGUA